rnacentral:rRNA from 1 species
GACGAACGCUGGCGGCGUGCUUAACACAUGCAAGUCGAACGGAAAGGCCCUGCUUUUGUGGGGUGCUCGAGUGGCGAACGGGUGAGUAACACGUGAGUAACCUGCCCUUGACUUUGGGAUAACUUCAGGAAACUGGGGCUAAUACCGGAUAGGAGCUCCUGCUGCAUGGUGGGGGUUGGAAAGUUUCGGCGGUUGUGGAUGGACUCGCGGCUUAUCAGUUUGUUGGUGGGGUAGUGGCUUACCAAGGCUUUGAUGGGUAGCCGGCCUGAGAGGGUGACCGGCCACAUUGGGACUGAGAUACGGCCCAGACUCCUACGGGAGGCAGCAGUGGGGAAUAUUGCACAAUGGGCGGAAGCCUGAUGCAGCAACGCCGCGUGCGGGAUGACGGCCUUCGGGUUGUAAACCGCUUUCGCCUGUGACGAAGCGUGAGUGACGGUAAUGGGUAAAGAAGCACCGGCUAACUACGUG